rnacentral:rRNA from 1 species
UACGGAGGGUGCAAGCGUUAAUCGGAAUUACUGGGCGUAAAGCGCACGCAGGUGGCUGAGUCAGUCGAUUGUGAAAGCCCUGGGCUUAACCUAGGAAUUGCAGUCGAUACUACUCGGCUAGAGUAUGGGAGAGGGCAGUGGAAUUCCCGGUGUAGCGGUGAAAUGCGUAGAUAUCAUCAGGAAUACCGGAGGCGAAGGCGGCUCACUGGGGCUUUUCUGACGCUGAGGAACGAAAGCCAGGGUAGCGAACGGG